rnacentral:rRNA from 1 species
GACGAACGCUGGCGGCGUGCCUAAUACAUGCAAGUAGAACGCUGAAGGAGGAGCUUGCUUCUCUGGAUGAGUUGCGAACGGGUGAGUAACGCGUAGGUAACCUGCCUGGUAGCGGGGGAUAACUAUUGGAAACGAUAGCUAAUACCGCAUAAUAGCAGUUGUUGCAUGACAACUGUUUGAAAGGUGCAAUUGCACCACUACCAGAUGGACCUGCGUUGUAUUAGCUAGUUGGUGGGGUAACGGCUCACCAAGGCGACGAUACAUAGCCGACCUGAGAGGUGAUCGGCCACACUGGUACUGAGACACGGCCCAGACUCCUACGGGAGGCAGCAGUAGGGAAUCUUCGGCAAUGGACGGAAGUCUGACCGAGCAACGCCGCGUGAGUGAAGAAGGUUUUCGGAUCGUAAAGCUCUGUUGUAAGAGAAGAACGAGUGUGAGAGUGGAAAGUUCACACUGUGACGGUAUCUUACCAGAAAGGGACGGCUAACUACGUG